GACAUACUCCCUCCAUUUGGAAUUACUCGUCGAAGAAAUGAAUGUAUCUAGAUGUAUUUUAGUUGUAGAUACAUCCGUUUUGUGACAAGUAAUUCCGAACGGAGGGAGUACAAA
rfam:Triticum aestivum genome assembly, contig: Triticum_aestivum_CS42_TGACv1_scaffold_030243_1BL